CCCUGUCUUGGUGAUGAGCCUCUGCCACAGAAAAACUAACAAGAAGUUUUGGGGACAGGAGGACAGCAGAGAGCAAACUAAGAAAUCAAAAGUGGUGUCUAGGGACAGCAUUAUUCUCAAGACUCCACUGGACACCUGACCCUGUGACAGGAGAUAUGCCAUGGAGCUC